AUUGCUCUUGAUUUAUGUUUUCAUUUUGAUGUUAUCAUUUUCAUUCUGAAAGUGCUUUUGGGUCUAUUUGUGUGUCUUAUUUCUAGUAGAAAAGUUAAAAAAAUAAUGCCAGCUUUUUCUUAAAAAAAGUAUAAUAGCUAUAAAAUCUAAAAUCAAAUCCUAUUAUCAUGCAGUACUCUCCCCAGAGAUCUCAUGGAAAAUACUCCACAUUCAUUUAUAAGGCACAAAAAAAUCCAAAAGUUUAGCAGUAGUUGUAGGAAAAUAAGUAUUCUUACAUAUUAUGGGUAUGGGAAUAAACUGGUAUAAUUAAUAAAAGAUAAUUUGACAAUU
rnacentral:lncRNA from 10 species